CUUUUUUUUUUGUUCAUAUUCUUUUUCUCAAAGAUUAAGCCAUGCAUGUCUAAGUAUAAGCAAUUAACCGCGAAACUGCGAAUGGCCCAUUAUAUAAGUUAUCGUUUAUUUGAUAAUCCUUUACUACUUGGAUAACCGUGGUAAUUCUAGAGCUAAUACAUGCUGAAAAUCCCGACUUCGGAAGGGAUGUAUUUAUUAGAUUAAAAACCAAUGCCCCUCGGGGCUCUCUGGUGAAUCAUGAUAACUAGUCGAAUCGACAGGCCUUGUGCCGGCGAUGGCUCAUUCAAAUUUCUUCCCUAUCAACUUUCGAUGUUUGGGUAUUGGCCAAACAUGGUGGCAACGGGUAACGGAGGGUUAGGGCUCGACCCCGGAGAAGGAGCCUGAGAAACGGCUACUACAUCCAAGGAAGGCAGCAGGCGCGCAAAUUACCCAAUCCCGACACGGGGAGGUAGUGACAAUAAAUACUGAUACAGGGCUCUUUUGGGUCUUGUAAUCGGAAUGAGUACAAUUUAAAUCCCUUAACGAGGAACAAUUGGAGGGCAAGUCUGGUGCCAGCAGCCGCGGUAAUUCCAGCUCCAAUAGCGUAUAUUAAAGUUGUUGUGGUUAAAAAGCUCGUAGUUGAACCUUGGGCCUGGCUGGCCGGUCCGCCUCACCGCGUGCACUGGUCCGGCCGGGCCUUUCCCUCUGCGGAACCCCAUGCCCUUCACUGGGUGUGGCGGGGAAACAGGACUUUUACUUUGAAAAAAUUAGAGUGCUCAAGGCAGGCCUAUGCUCGAAUACAUUAGCAUGGAAUAAUAGAAUAGGACGUGUGGUUCUAUUUUGUUGGUUUCUAGGACCGCCGUAAUGAUUAAUAGGGACAGUCGGGGGCAUCAGUAUUCAAUUGUCAGAGGUGAAAUUCUUGGAUUUAUUGAAGACUAACUACUGCGAAAGCAUUUGCCAAGGAUGUUUUCAUUAAUCAGGAACGAAAGUUAGGGGAUCGAAGACGAUCAGAUACCGUCGUAGUCUUAACCAUAAACUAUGCCGACUAGGGAUCGGACGAUGUUACAUUUCUUGACGCGUUCGGCACCUUACGAGAAAUCAAAGUGCUUGGGCUUCCCAUGGGGCGGU
rnacentral:rRNA from 1 species